CAUAGGUUAAUGAGGCGAACCGGGGGAACUGAAACAUCUAAGUACCCCGAGGAAAAGAAAUCAACCGAGAUUCCCCCAGUAGCGGCGAGCGAACGGGGAGCAGCCCAGAGCCUGAAUCAGUAUGUGUGUUAGUGGAAGCGUCUGGAAAGGCGCGCGAUACAGGGUGACAGCCCCGUACACAAAAAUGCACAUGCUGUGAGCUCGAUGAGUAGGGCGGGACACGUGGUAUCCUGUCUGAAUAUGGGGGGACCAUCCUCCAAGGCUAAAUACUCCUGACUGACCGAUAGUGAACCAGUACCGUGAGGGAAAGGCGAAAAGAACCCCGGCGAGGGGAGUGAAAAAGAACCUGAAACCGUGUACGUACAAGCAGUGGGAGCACAGAGCAAUCUGUGUGACUGCGUACCUUUUGUAUAAUGGGUCAGCGACUUAUAUUCUGUAGCAAGGUUAACCGAAUAGGGGAGCCGAAGGGAAACCGAGUCUUAACUGGGCGUUAAGUUGCAGGGUAUAGACCCGAAACCCGGUGAUCUAGCCAUGGGCAGGUUGAAGGUUGGGUAACACUAACUGGAGGACCGAACCGACUAAUGUUGAAAAAUUAGCGGAUGACUUGUGGCUGGGGGUGAAAGGCCAAUCAAACCGGGAGAUAGCUGGUUCUCCCCGAAAGCUAUUUAGGUAGCGCCUCGUGAAUUCAUCUCCGGGGGUAGAGCACUGUUUCGGCAAGGGGGUCAUCCCGACUUACCAACCCGAUGCAAACUGCGAAUACCGGAGAAUGUUAUCACGGGAGACACACGGCGGGUGCUAACGUCCGUCGUGAAGAGGGAAACAACCCAGACCGCCAGCUAAGGUCCCAAAGUCAUGGUUAAGUGGGAAACGAUGUGGGAAGGCCCAGACAGCCAGGAUGUUGGCUUAGAAGCAGCCAUCAUUUAAAGAAAGCGUAAUAGCUCACUGGUCGAGUCGGCCUGCGCGGAAGAUGUAACGGGGCUAAACCAUGCACCGAAGCUGCGGCAGCGACGCUGAUGCGUUGUUGGGUAGGGGAGCGUUCUGUAAGCCUGCGAAGGUGUGCUGUGAGGCAUGCUGGAGGUAUCAGAAGUGCGAAUGCUGACAUAAGUAACGAUAAAGCGGGUGAAAAGCCCGCUCGCCGGAAGACCAAGGGUUCCUGUCCAACGUUAAUCGGGGCAGGGUGAGUCGACCCCUAAGGCGAGGCCGAAAGGCGUAGUCGAUGGGAAACAGGUUAAUAUUCCUGUACUUGGUGUUACUGCGAAGGGGGGACGGAGAAGGCUAUGUUGGCCGGGCGACGGUUGUCCCGGUUUAAGCGUGUAGGCUGGU
rnacentral:rRNA from 1 species